CACGUAGGGCGCAAGCGUUGUCCGGAAUUAUUGGGCGUAAAGAGCUCGUAGGCGGUCUGUUGCGUCCGCUGUGAAAACUCGGGGCUUAACCCCGAGCCUGCAGUGGAUACGGGCAGACUAGAGGUAGGUAGGGGAGAAUGGAAUUCCCGGUGUAGCGGUGAAAUGCGCAGAUAUCGGGAGGAACACCGGUGGCGAAAGCGGCGCACUGGACCACAUCUGACGCUGAGGCGCGAAAGCUAGGGGAGCAAACAGGG
rnacentral:rRNA from 1 species